UUAUUAAUUAUUUUAUUUUAUUUAUUUGUUUCUUUAAUUUGUUUUUAAUUAAAUUAAUUUUAUUGCUUAUUUUCUUAGUAUUAUUUAUUGAUUUGAUUUUUUUUAUAGUUUAUUAGUAAUGUAAUUGGAUUAAUAAUUGAUUUAAAUUUGUUAAAAUUUAUUUAUUUAUUGUACCAUCUGUAUCAUGGUUUAUCUAGUUUUUUUUUAUUUGAUUUUCCCGAUUUAGGUUGAUUUACAAUUAAUUUAAUUUAAUGUUUUAUAAUUAUUUUAUAGUUUUUUUGUAGAAAUGAAAUGUUAUUCGUUUCCUAAAUUAUCUAGUUUCUUAAGAAACAGUUUAACUUUUAUAAUUAAUUGUUUUUUUUAUUUUUUAUGAUAAAAUACUUAUUAAUUUAUUAUCUAGGGAAUAAGUUCUGGCUUCUUAUUUUCUAUAAAUUAUAAUUAUUUUAAUAACAGUAGGCUUUAAAUCAUCUAUCUUUUUUAUUACAUUUUAGUUCAUUAUUAUAAUUUUUAAUUUUAUAAAAUUUUUUGAGGUUAUAUUAAGAUUUUGAAUUAAGUUGUUGAGUUUUGGUAACUCUGAUUUAAUUAGUAUAUUUAUUUGUUUAUUUAUUAGUUAAUGAUAAUUUAUUGAAAGGAAUUAGGCAAUAAAUUUAAAUAAUUUCCGCCUGUUUAUCAAAAACAUAUCUUCUUGAUUAUAAUUUGAGGGUUUGCCUUGCUCACUGAGAAUUUUGAAGAGCCGCGGUAUUUUGACCGUGCAAAGGUAGCAUAAUCAUUAGUCUCUUAAUUAGAGGCUGGAAUGAAUGGUUUGACGAAAAAUUAACUGUCUCUUGAUAAAUUUUAAAAUUUAACUUUUGAGUUAAAAGGCUUAAAUUUUUCUUUAGGACGAGAAGACCCUAUAGAGCUUAACAUUUUAAUUAUAUAUAUUUUUAAGUUGGUCUUUUUAUAUUUAAUGAUAAUGUUUUAUUGGGGUGAUAUGAAGAAUAAAUAAACUCUUCAUUAUAAAAUCAUUAAUUUAUGUUUGUUUUGAUCCAUAAUUUAUGAUCAUAAGAUUAAGUUACCUUAGGGAUAACAGCGUAAUUGUUUUUGAGAGCUCAUAUCGACAAAGCAGAUUGCGACCUCGAUGUUGGAUUAAGAAAAGUUUUGGGUGCAGAAGCCCAAAAAUUAGGUCUGUUCGACCUUUAAAUUCUUACAUGAUCUGAGUUCAGACCGGCGUAAGCCAGGUCGGUUUCUAUCUUAAGUUUAUUUUUUUACAUUAGUACGAAAGGACCAUGUAAUUGAAUUAUAUUUUGUUUAAUUGAUUAAAUUUAAUAUU
rnacentral:rRNA from 1 species